GGGCCGAUAGUUCAGUUGGUAUGAAUGUCUGAUUUGCAUUCAGAAGGUCGGGGGUUCAAAUCCCCCUCGGUCCACCA
rnacentral:tRNA from 1 species